UACGGAGGGGCUAGCGUUGUUCGGAAUUACUGGGCGUAAAGCGCACGUAGGCGGCUUUGUAAGUUAGAGGUGAAAGCCGGGCUCAACCCGGAACUUGCCUUUAAGACUGCAUCGCUAGAAUUGUGGAGAGGUAAGUGGAAUUACCGAGUGUAGAGGUGAAAUUCGUAGAUAUUCGGAAGAACACCAGUGGCGAAGGCGGCUCACUGGACCGGCAUU
rnacentral:rRNA from 1 species